UACGGGGGGGGGCAAGCGUUGUUCGGAAUUACUGGGCGUAAAGGGCUCGUAGGCGGCCAACUAAGUCAGACGUGAAAUCCCUCGGCUUAACCGGGGAACUGCGUCUGAUACUGGAUGGCUUGAAUCCGGGAGAGGGAUGCGGAAUUCCAGGUGUAGCGGUGAAAUGCGUAGAUAUCUGGAGGAACACCGGUGGCGAAGGCGGCAUCCUGGACCGGUAUUGACGCUGAGACGCGAAAGCCAGGGGAGACCGGAACGGG
rnacentral:rRNA from 1 species